rnacentral:rRNA from 1 species
UACGGAGGGUGCAAGCGUUAAUCGGAAUUACUGGGCGUAAAGCGUGCGUAGGCGGUUCGUUAAGUCUGUUGUGAAAGCCCCGGGCUCAACCUGGGAAUGGCAAUGGAUACUGGCGAGCUAGAGUGUGUCAGAGGAUGGUGGAAUUCCCGGUGUAGCGGCGAAAUGCGUAGAGAUCGGGAGGAACAUCAGUGGCGAAGGCGGCCAUCUGGGACAACACUGACGCUGAGGCACGAAAGCGUGGGGAGCAAACAGG